rnacentral:rRNA from 1 species
CCUACGGGUGGCAGCAGUGAGGAAUAUUGGUCAAUGGGCGCGAGCCUGAUCCAGCGAAGUAGCGUGAAGGAUGACUGCCCUACGGGUUGUAAACUUCUUUUAUAAAGGAGUAAAGUGAGGCACGUGUGCCUUUUUGUAUGUACUUUAUGAAUAAGGAUCGGCUAACUCCGUGCCAGCAGCCGCUGUAAUACGGAGGAUCCGAGCGUUAUCCGGAUUUAUUGGGUUUAAAGGGAGCGUAGAUGGUUUGUUAAGUCAGUUGUGAAAGUUUGCGGCUCAACCGUAAAAUUGCAAUUGAUACUGGCAGACUUGAGUACAGUAGAGGGAGGCGGAAUGCGUGGUGUAGCGGUGAAAUGCUUAGAUAUCACGAAGAACUCUGAUUGCGAAGGCAGCUUACUAAACUGCCACUGACAUUGAUGCACGAAAGUGAGGGUAUCAAACAGGAUUAGAUACCCCAGUAGUC